rnacentral:rRNA from 1 species
UACGUAGGGUGCGAGCGUUAAUCGGAAUUACUGGGCGUAAAGCGUGCGCAGGCGGUUCGUUGUGUCGGCGGUGAAAGCCCCGGGCUCAACCUAGGAAUGGCCGGUGAAACUGGCGAACUGGAGUGUGGCAGAGGGGGGUGGAAUUCCGCGUGUAGCAGUGAAAUGCGUAGAGAUGCGGAGGAACACCGAUGGCGAAGGCAGCCCCCUGGGCUGACACUGACGCUCAGGCACGAAAGCGUGGGGAGCAAACAGG